rnacentral:rRNA from 1 species
UACGUAGGGUGCGAGCGUUAAUCGGAAUUACUGGGCGUAAAGCGUGCGCAGGCGGUUUUGUAAGCCAGAUGUGAAAUCCCCGGGCUCAACCUGGGAAUGGCAUUUGGGACUGCAAGGCUUGAGUGCGGCAGAGGAGACUGGAAUUCCUGGUGUAGCAGUGAAAUGCGUAGAUAUCAGGAGGAACACCGGUGGCGAAGGCGGCGAUCUGGACGAUGACUGACGCUGAGACGCGAAAGCGUGGGGAGCAAACAGG